GAUGAACGCUGGCGGUAUGCCUAACACAUGCAAGUCGUACGAGAGUUUUUAACUCUAGUGGCGGACGGGUGAGUAACACGUGAGAAUUUGCCUUUAGGAGGGGGAUAACAAUUGGAAACGAAUGCUAAUACCCCAUAUGCUUUUGAGUGAAAUGGGUUUUAUCCGCCCAGAGAGAAGCUCGCGGCUGAUUAGCUUGUUGGUAAGGUAAGAGCUUACCAAGGCGACGAUCAGUAUCUGGUUUGAGAGGACGAUCAGACACACUGGAACUGAGACACGGUCCAGACUCCUACGGGAGGCAGCAGUGGGGAAUUUUCCGCAAUGGGCGAAAGCCUGACGGAGCAAUACCGCGUGAGGGAAGAAUGCCUAUGGGUUGUAAACCUCUUUUUUCAGGGAGGAAUAAAAUGACGUGUACCUGAAGAAUAAGCAUCGGCUAACUCCGUG
rnacentral:rRNA from 1 species